UGUGUUUAGGUGUUUGGUGCACAUAAAUUUUUGAUUUUUAAGGGAAUAGUUUAAUUCUGUUGAACACAA
rnacentral:tRNA from 1 species